UACCAAUGAAAACCUCGCAUUUGUGUA
rnacentral:piRNA from 1 species